UACGUAGGGGGCUAGCGUUGUUCGGAAUUACUGGGCGUAAAGGGCGCGUAGGCGGUGUGUCAAGUCAGGCGUGAAAGCCCCGGGCUCAACCUGGGAACCGCGCUUGAGACUGGCACGCUCGAGUUCGGGAGAGGAUGGUGGAAUUCCCAGUGUAGAGGUGAAAUUCGUAGAUAUUGGGAAGAACACCGGUGGCGAAGGCGGCGAUCUGGACCGGCACUGACGCUGAGGCGCGAAAGCGUGGGGAGCAAACAGG
rnacentral:rRNA from 1 species